GCUUGACACUGAACAUUGAGCCUUGAUGUGUAGGAUAGGUGGGAGGCUUUGAAGUGUGGACGCCAGUCUGCAUGGAGCCGACCUUGAAAUACCACCCUUUAAUGUUUGAUGUUCUAACGUUGGCCCCUAAUCGGGGUUGCGGACAGUGUCUGGUGGGUAGUUUGACUGGGGCGGUCUCCUCCUAAAGAGUAACGGAGGAGCACGAAGGUUGGCUAAUCCUGGUCGGACAUCAGGAGGUUAGUGCAAUGGCAUAAGCCAGCUUGACUGCGAGCGUGACGGCGCGAGCAGGUGCGAAAGCAGGUCAUAGUGAUCCGGUGGUUCUGAAUGGAAGGGCCAUCGCUCAACGGAUAAAAGGUACUCCGGGGAUAACAGGCUGAUACCGCCCAAGAGUUCAUAUCGACGGCGGUGUUUGGCACCUCGAUGUCGGCUCAUCACAUCCUGGGGCUGAAGUAGGUCCCAAGGGUAUGGCUGUUCGCCAUUUAAAGUGGUACGCGAGCUGGGUUUAGAACGUCGUGAGACAGUUCGGUCCCUAUCUGCCGUGGGCGCUGGAGAACUGAGGGGGGCUGCUCCUAGUACGAGAGGACCGGAGUGGACGCAUCACUGGUGUUCGGGUUGUCAUGCCAAUGGCACUGCCCGGUAGCUAAAUGCGGAAGAGAUAAGUGCUGAAAGCAUCUAAGCACGAAACUUGCCCCGAGAUGAGUUCUCCCUGACUCCCUGAGAGUCCUGAAGGAACGUUGAAGACGACGACGUUGAUAGGCCGGGUGUGUAAGCGCAGCGAUGCGUUGAGCUAACCGGUACUAAUGAACCGUGAGG
rnacentral:rRNA from 1 species